rnacentral:rRNA from 1 species
AUUGAACGCUGGCGGCAGGCCUAACACAUGCAAGUCGAGCGGAUGAAGGGAGCUUGCUCCUGGAUUCAGCGGCGGACGGGUGAGUAAUGCCUAGGAAUCUGCCUGGUAGUGAGGGAUAACGUCCGGAAACGGGCGCUAAUACCGCAUACGUCCUGAGGGAGAAAGUGGGGGAUCUUCGGACCUCACGCUAUCAGAUGAGCCUAGGUCGGAUUAGCUAGUUGGUGGGGUAAAGGCCUACCAAGGCGACGAUCCGUAACUGGUCUGAGAGGAUGAUCAGUCACACUGGAACUGAGACACGGUCCAGACUCCUACGGGAGGCAGCAGUAGGGAAUAUUGGACAAUGGGCGAAAGCCUGAUCCAGCCAUGCCGCGUGUGUGAAGAAGGUCUUCGGAUUGUAAAGCACUUUAAGUUGGGAGGAAGGGCAGUAAGUUAAUACCUUGCUGUUUUGACGUUACCAACAGAAUAAGCACCGGCUAACUUCGUG